rnacentral:lncRNA from 1 species
UGCAGUCCGCCGGGGUACUCCAAAACAAUCUAGGCACUCAUGAAGAAGUGGCUGAAUUUUUCAACACUGUGUCCGCCGACUUGGAAUCAAACUUUCUUGCUUACAAAGAUGUGAGAGUCAAGAUUCGGAACCACCUUAAAAGUCACUAUAACAGCAGACUGAAAAUGUGGAUGACACAAUGCCUGGACACCUACUUCGGUAGCCCCUGGACUAUCAUAGCUUGGGUUGGUGCUGCUUUGGCCCUUUUCUUUACUGCCGUCCAGACUUACCUCUCAGUCUUCCCUCAUUGAUGCAUGCAUGCCCUGUUUUCUCGCUAUCUAUUGAGUGCUUCUGCAUUUUACCUAGCCCAAAUUCAUGGCCUCCAUAUAACCCUUUGAUGGUUGCAAAGUAAAUUAGGCAAAGAGUCAUUGGUCUCGUUUCUUUUCCUUUUUCAGCGUAUUUUCUAUCUUCCUUUCCGUGUGUAAAACAAGUAAAAAAGGAAUGUGUGCUGUGAUCUUAUUUUAGUGUAUUUUGUGCCUAUGUAUGCAUCAGUAAUAUUAUGUUUUAUUUAAGUAACUAAAAAUAGAUAUGGGUGGACUAUUUUUCUAUUUUUGGAUCCCUGUUAAUGUAUUAUGUUAGGUUGGCAAUUUUAUUCAUUGAUGUUUUAGUCGGAUACAACUUAUUUCCUCAAAUCUUAAUGGUUGUGACCGAGUUCAUCAGUUCGAUACGAGGUAAGUGUUUGAAGAAGUAGAUACAGCAAUGAAAACUUAAAAUAUGAAAAACAAAAACAAAAAAGCAAAAGCAAAACAAAGUGAAAGUGGAGAAAAACCUGGCUGGAAUGUACGAAAUUCAACAGAUGCAAGUGUCAUUUAUUCAUUUUUAUUUGAGAAAAAAUAAAAUAUUAAAAAUAUUCUUAGAAAUCUAUUUAUCAAUUUUUUAUUAUAAUUUUUUUCUUGGAUUUCGUACAAAAUAUAUCAAAAGAAUUGAUAUUAGCUUCCAUGAACUUAUCUCAAAUACCAUUUUUGUGGCGAAGAAGCUUCCAACAAGUGGAUCUUUUCUGAAGAAAAUAAAGGGAAGAAGCCGUGGAAUAGAAUAACGGGGAAUGGUAUUUAUGUUAUAUUGAAGGCAAUUAAUGGAUGGAUGUAUUGAUAUGAUUUUUAUCUUCUUGGUUGAUUGUGUAAAUAGAAUGAUUGUCUAGAGAAUUUAUUAGGUGGAAGUAAAUAUGAAUUCUCUUCAUCUCAAAGGGAGUAGUAUUUUUUGGUGAAAAAGAGUUUAGUAAUUUAAUCAUUUUACAAAAAAAACAUUUUAUUUUUCUUUUUUAUUUUUAAGAUGAUAUUAGAAAGUUUGAAUGUAAUGUUUUACAUUGGAUAUAUGAGAAAAUUGGGUAUCAAUCCCUUACUCCGGUAUGGGAGUUUGUUUGGUUCUAUAAAGGGUAUUUAUUUGUUUCGUCCAACAAUCUCAUAGGAUACAACAAAGACAUUAUAUUUAUAUGAGGAAUGUUUGUAAUGUUUCACAAUGAAUAAAAGAGAAAGUUCCUAAGAUUAUAUAUGUAUGAGUUUCUUUUAAUUUUGUAAACGUGUUUUAGAGUCUUAAAUGUCUUAUUGGACACAGAGCAAAUAAUAUUUAUAUGGUUAGAUACAAGUCAUCACAAAUGGUUUAAAAGCUAAUCAUUUUUCUUGGUGUGGGAGUUUGUUUAGUCCUAUGAAGCAUUUUUGUCUAUUUGACCAUAUAAUCUCAUGAGACAUGUGGUUAUGUCCCAUAAACAAAAAUUUGAAGUGAAAGAAAUGAUCUCUUGAAAAAUAUUUAAGACACUUUAAAUAUAUAUAUAUGACAAUCUCGUUGUAAUCAAAAGUCAAUUUCAAACCAAGACAAAAUUUGUCGAUUUGUUCAUGGUUUAAGAUAAAGGUAUGAAUUUUUUUUUUCACCUACUAUACUUUUCUAGCCAAUUUAUAGUAGCUUUUCAAAGACAUAAGCAAUCACUCACUACCAAAAAAAAAAAAAAAAGAAAAUGUUCUUAAAGCAUGCAUAAUUUUUUAUUUGGACGACAUUGUAAUGAUCAAAAUGGUUGAGAAAACAAAAUUUUCAAUUUGAUGGGAAGGGGUUUCAUCCUUUUUAUGUGUUACAAUUCUUAAAAAAUAAAAAAUAAAAAAUACUUUCGUGUUUUUAUGAAGUCCUUGUCAAAGGAUGUCUUUAUCAUGUUUUAAGACAAGUUGGGACUAUAGACAGUUAUUGGCAUUGGCCAAAUAACCAAGAAUUCUUGAUACUUGUCCCAUACAAGUAUAGUUUUCUAAGUUGGGUUGAUUUUUGUAAACCACAACUCUUCAACCCAGUAAAUGGCGUUAAAUAUAAUGUUUGGAGGUUGGUCAUCUUAUGAAGACCCAAAUCACCACCAAAGCAACUCUCCAUUUUCGGUUGGCUUAAGAUCUUACUGUCAGGAAUGUAUAGAUGUUUCAAUUGGUACAACUUCCAAAUUGAACAUGGAAUCACGGAAGAACUAUGGCGUACCUCUAGAAUCUAUAGGUUAAAGAGUUUGCCUAUAGACCAUGAAAAACUUUUAGUAGAACGUGCACUCUCGACAGAAAAAUAUUUGUAGAUCUUUUCUGACUUCAAGUAGUGUUAGGUCUAACACUGUUAGCAAUUUUGUUCUUAAGCAAGGUAUCAAAUUUACUUGAGAAAGAUCAAUAGAACAAAUCAAAGAUCGGAGGAGGCGGCAGGUAUGCAAAUGUUUGAGAAAUAUUUUUUAAGUCAUGAGCAAUAAGUCGACGAGGGUUAAAAGGGCAUGCAAGGAUGAUGUUUCGGUGUACCUCAAAUUUUUUUGAAUCUUUGGCUUUUGAAAUAGCAAGGUCGCGAAGGAGAUCAUGGAUACGACAAGACUUUACUCUUCCAUCCCAUUUUCUUCUGGCCACCUGAAUCAUGCUUCUAUGAAUCAACUCUUCUAAAUAAUCCUCAGCAACGUCUUCCACCAUUUCUUCACCCCUUUGUACAAAUCCCUCCGUAAUCCACAUUUGGAGCAAUUUGUUUGCCUUAAUUUCACAAUCUUCCGGAAAAAUACCACAAUAGAGAAAACAAGACCUCAAGAAAUAAGGCAAGUCACUAUAGCUCAAAGCAACAAUUCCCAAGCAUGAGUUGGGGCCUUGACUUAGAUUUCCACUCCAUGCUUUUUAGUAUUUUCUCCCACGAAGAUUUAGACUUCUCUUUUCUUGAUAGAAGCCCUCCUGAUACCACAAUGGCUAGAGGUAAGCCUUUGCAUUUCUUUAUAAUCUCAUUUCCCAUACCUUCAAACUCUACAAGACAAACAACUGGUGAUGUACUUGCAGUUGGAAAAGUUUUCUUGAGAAAGGGCAUCCAACUCUCUUCUGGACAUAAAGGACGGAGUUCAUAGAGCUGUGCAUGGGCAUCCGAAGCAAUUUGUUGGUUAUGUGUGGUGAUGAGCACUCUGCUCUUGUUUGACUUAUGCUAAACUUGGAUGCUCUAUACAUCAUCCAACACUAUCAAAUACCUUUUAUCUUUGAGGUAACCAUUAACCUCUUUCCCCAAUUGAUCCUCAACCAUUUUAUAUUACCUUUAAAAAUUAUUUAAAAUAGCCUUAUGUCACGGACUUAGUCUUUUCCUAAUUAAGCUUGUGCGGCACUUAGACAAACUAAGACCCUUGAUCUUGCUAAGUCAGUCUUACUCUCAAUGCUUAGCUUGCUAGGCUAAGACGCUCACUACUCGGAAGUUUUAGAAGGUAUAGUAGGCAACUCUUAUAGAAUGAAAGCUUUAUUGCUUUCAAAUGAAGCUAUACAAUGCUUAGAAGCUCACUUGCUUGGUUAGGAAGUGAUAUUGAAGCUUUAUUACUUUACUGCCGUCUAGACUUACUUCUCAGCCUUCUCUCAUUGAUGCAUGCAUUCCCUGCUUUCUUGCUAUCUAUCGAGUGCUUCUGCAUUUUACCUAGCCUAAAUUCAUGGACUCCACAUGACCCUUUGAUGUGCAUAGUAAAUUAGGCAAAGAGUCAUUCGUUCCGUUUCUUUUCCAUCUCAGCAGAAUGAAUGGGUGCUGUGAUCUUAUUUUGGUGUAUUUUGUGGUUAUGUACGCAUAGGUAGUAUUAUGUUUGAUUUAAGUAACUAAAAAUAGGCAUGGGUGGACUAUGUUUUCUAUGUUUGGAUCCCUAUGAAUGUAUUGUAUUAGGUUGGCAAUUUUUUUUUAUUGAUGUUUUACUCCAUGCAACUUAUUUCCUCGGAUCUUAAUGGUUGUGAUUGAAUUAAAAUUACUAUGAGGUAAGGGUUUGAAGGAGCAAGAUAAAGUAUGAAAACUUCCAAAAAAAAAAAAGAGAAACAGAACAAUGUGAAAAAUGGAGAAAAACCUGACAGGAAUGCAGGAAAUUUAAUAGAUGAAAGUUAUUUAUUCAUUUUUAAUUGAGAAAAAUAGAAUAUUAUUAUUAUUAUUAUUAGAAAAUUAUUUAUCAAUUUUCUAUUAAAAAAUUUUCUUGGAUUUCACAGAAAAUAUAAUAAAUAAAUUGACAUUAGCUUCCAUGAACUUAUCUCAAAUCCCAUUUUUUUGUGACAGAAGCUUCUGAGGACAGGAUUUUUUUUCUCAGGAAAAAUGGGUGGAACAAGGUGGAAGGUGUGGAAUAGAAGAAUGGAGAAUGGUAUGGAUGUAUUGAUAUGAUUUUAAUCCUCUUGGUAGAUUGUGUAAAUCAGAUGAAUGCGUCAGAGAAUUUCUUGAAUAAGGGUGUAGUAAUUUUCGGUAAUGAAGAGUUCAGUAAUUUGUUGAAUUGUUUUUAAAAUAUUUUCUUUUUCUUUCCAGUUUUUAAGAUGAUAUUGGAAGGUUUGACUCAGUAAUAUUAGGUUUAUAUGUGUUCAGAAUAUGUGCAGGGUUUACAACUUAUAUAAUUUUUGGCAAAUAUUUGUCACAACAGUAAUUAUGAAACUUUUAAGAUGAAUUUAGAAGUGAAAAGUGUUUUAAAAAGUGGAAAAAUCUCCGUAAAAAAGAUUGUGUUAUCUAGCAUGAUUUUUUUUUUCUUUGCUUUUCUUUGCUUUUGUUGCAACUCUUCUAUUUCCAACCUUUUCUUAGGACCAAAAUACUAAUAGUUUCUAUUAAGCAAAAUAAUAAAACAUGACACAAGAUGUACAAUGAUAGGACACAUAAUGAUAAGAAUCCACUUUCAUUAAUAUUUAUAUAAAUAAAAAAUAAUCAAAUAUUAAUUUUAUUUGAUUCUCCUAAUUUAGAAAAUAAUAUUUAUUUUAGAUAAAUCAAGAGCAGCUAAGAAUAUUUUAUCUUCUUAAUUUAGGAAAUAAUAUUUAUUUCCUUAAUGUUAAGAUAUUUAUUUCUUUCUAUGAUACACAAUGCAUCUUUGUAUAAAUUUCUGAAAAAAACAAUAAAACAAUUGUUUUCAUUAUGAAGAAGCUCAAACUUGAGUCUUCUCCAAGAGUGGUUGAAUGUUCUAGAAAGAAUGUCAUAAAAGGCUUGAUGUAUCCUCGUAAAUCAUAUCUUCCUCUUUAAAAAAAAAAAAAAAAAAAAGCCUUAAUGUUCCCAUCUUCCAUUAAUAUUCUUUCUAGUUUGAUUUCAAUCAAGCUAAACAACACAAAUUUUCUACCAUGGUGAAAUCAAAUCAUCCUCUUUCAUGACUUCAAUGUUUUAGCCUUUCAUGUAUGUUCUACGCUUUCAUUAGAGUUAUUUCUGGCUUGAUUUCAAUCAAGUUAAACACCACAAAUUUUCAAUUUUUGUCAUCUUCUUAAUUUGUGGUGUAAGUGUUCUCCAACAUUUCUUACCUCUUGAAAAAAUUAAAUAUUAUAAGGAAAGCAAUGUUCUAUCUUACAAUACUAGUUAUUGAUCAAUGAUAAAUUCAUCACUUCAUGAAUUUGAAUCAUAAAAGAGCAUAUUUUAAGUAUAAUCUUUGGUGUUAACAUGGUGUAUGAGAUAUGAACUUUUAAAGAGAAAUUGCUUCUUAUUAUAAUUGACAAUCACGUCAUAAUCAAAAGCCAAUUUCAAAUCAAGACAAAGUUUGUGAAUCUGUUCAUGGUUUAGGAUAAAGGUCUGAAAUAUUUUUCACCUACUAUGCUUUUCUAGCCUAUUCAUGGUAGCUUUUUAAGAAUACAUGCAAUCAUUCACUACCAAAAGGGAGGGAGAAAACAUUCUUAGAGCAUGCACACAUUUUUAUUUGAACGAUAUAGUCAUAAUUAAAAUGGUUGAGAAGACAAAAUUUUCAAUGUUAGGAAAGAGGCUUCACACUUUUUGUGUGUUAUAUUUCUCACAAAAAAAAUUCUUUCAUGUUUUGAUCAAAUCUCCAUAAAAAAUGAUGUCUUCACCAUGUUUAAGAGUAUAUUGGGUCAAAUAUACUUUACCUUCUUAAGUAAUCAUGUGCUUUACAUUUUGUUCCCUCGUUUAAAAUUCAACAAUUUGUCUUCCAAACUUCUUAAAAACCAACAUUACACCUUUUUUGUUGAAUGAUGUUACAUUAAUAAAACGAAAAAUGUAAGUGCCUUGCAUGUGACCUAAUAAGUAGAGGUAAAAUUGUCAUUUGAAAUACUCAAAGCCUUAAAAUCUCGUCAAUCUUUGUUUUUCCUUCCUCCAAACUCUUCAAUCUUCGAUUUUCUUUCUCCAAAGCCCUAAAAUUCAAUCAUCAAAGGGUUGAGAGUUUGAUUUAAAAUAUGGAUUUCAAUGAUAGUUUUUUUUUUUAUAAACCCCUACACUGUUUUGCUUCAAUUUUGUCUUUGAUAGCUAAGAAAAUUUCAAGAAGAGAAUAAAUUUUGAGUGAUGAGGUGUUUAUAAGGGUUAGGGUUUUCUUUUGAUAGUUGAAAAAUUUUUGGACAUCAUCAAUUUUUUUUUUCAGACUUAUAAAAUAUAUAAUAAAUAUUUUUUAAAUAGCUUAACAAAUAUUUUUUUUGUUUUUUACUUACAAAAUAAUAAAUAUGCCGUACAUUAUUUGUCCUAUAUAUUAAAUAAUUUUUAAAUACCUCAUAAAAUAUUAUUAUUAUUAUUAUUAUUUUAACUUACAAAUUAGACUCAUAGUGUUUAUUAUUUGUCAUAUUAUUUUGAAAAUAAUGUAAACAAUCACAUGCACUUUAAGAUAUUCAAAAUUUCUCUAUUCCAAAAUUAUCUAACUGUUCAUCACACUAAUUCUAAAUAUUUUAAAAUAAAGAUUUUAUACUGUUUUGGUUUUGGAGAGUUUAUUUUAUAUGUUGUAUAUAUUUUAUAUAUUUUUUUUUUGUUGGGUAUAUAUAGAAUUGAACAUUUGAUAGUUUAAAAUUUUUGUUUUAAUAAAAGAAAUCGUUAAAUAAACAUGUUUUAAUAAAAUAAUAUUUCUAAAACAUUUUUCUUAAUAAAAGAAAGUUUUUUAUUAAUAAAAAUAAAAAAAAACGCUUUUAAGAAAAUCCAAAAAAAAAAAUUGUUUGUAAUGAAAUUUGAAAAAUUAUUUUUAAUAAUAAUUAUCAAAAAAAUUAUUUAUUUAAUAAAAAUUGUUCAAAAAAAUUAGUUUUUAAAUAAGAUUUUCCAAAAGAUUAUAUUUCAUAAAAAAUCGUACAAUUUUUUUUUUUUUUUACAAAUAAAUUCUAUUUCCUUACUUAUAAUAGGAUUAAAAGUAAUUUUUGUAAAUUACAAAUUUCAAAAUUUUGAACCGCCCUUUUAGAUUUCAAAAUUUGAAAUGAUUUACGCCGCUGUCCGCAACUUGCAAUUUCAAAAAUUUGAAAUUGUUUACUUUGCUUGGGUGCUCGUCCCUUCAAAUUUCAAAUUUGAACGUUUGCCCGCCUUUCAGCUUUCAAAAUUUCUCGCCCAUCAAAUUUCAACUUAGGGGUGCCCGCCUGCUUGCCCUUCAUUUCAUAAUUCCAUAAACAAUUGUCCUCAUCUUGGCUGUCCUUUCGUUGGUUUUUUUUGGAAGACACGGGGGAGAAGGUAGAGACAAAGGUUGACAGAGUAAGUGUAACGACCCGCACCCAACCAUGUAGAUAUUGUCCGCUUUGGGCCCAAGGGGGCCCUCACGGCUUUAAAACGCGUCUACUUGUUUAAGAAGAGUCUCUACAUAUAUAGCGUCAGGAACUUCCUCCCCUAUCCGAUGUGGGACAUCACAAAUACCCCCCCCCCCNNNNNNNNNNNNNNNNNNNNNNNNNNNNNNNNNNNNNNNNNNNNNNNNNNNNNNNNNNNNNNNNNNNNNNNNNNNNNNNNNNNNNNNNNNNNNNNNNNNNUUUUUUUGGAAAGACCCGGGGGGAAAGGGAGAAAAAAGGGUUAACAGAGUAAGGGUAACCCCCCCCCCCCCCCCAUGUGUUUUUUUUCCGCUUGGGGCCCAAGGGGGCCCCCCCGGUUUAAAAAGGGGUUUACUUUUUUAAAAGGGGUUCUUAAAUAUAAGGGGUCGGGAACUCCCCCCCCUUUUCGGAGGGGGGACUCCAAAAAUCCCCCCCCCCCCCCCCCCCCAUGCAGACACAACGUCCUCGUUGUGUCCCAUGGGAUUGUGGGGCCAAACAGACAAAGCCAAACAAACUCCCACACCGGGGUCAGGGAUCGGCUCUGAUACCACUCUGUCACGCCCAAGACCCACUCCAAGGGCAUGACGGUCAUUUCACACCUCAAACCCGAAGGCUUAAAGUAUAAUCUGACCCAAACAAUCAUAUUGUAACUGGAUGUUACCAAUUACCAAAUACCUGUUCAGAGUAGCAGAACAAAAUCUAAAAUCCUCAAAAUUCAAUUUCCAAAUAACUUCCAAAUAUCAAAUGAUCCAAAUGAACAUAACUAACAGUUAAACAAAAUCCAACAUAAAAUCUUAAGUCAANNNNNNNNNNNNNNNNNNNNNNNNNNNNNNNNNNNNNNNNNNNNNNNNNNNNNNNNNNNNNNNNNNNNNNNNNNNNNNNNNNNNNNNNNNNNNNNNNNNNACCCAACCAUGUAGAUAUUGUCCGCUUUGGGCCCAAGGGGGCCCUCACGGCUUUAAAACGCGUCUACUUGUUUAAGAAGAGUCUCUACAUAUAUAGCGUCAGGAACUUCCUCCCCUAUCCGAUGUGGGACAUCACAAAUACCCCCCCCCCCCCCCCCCCAUGCAGACACAACGUCCUCGUUGUGUCCCAUGGGAUUGUGGGGCCAAACAGACAAAGCCAAACAAACUCCCACACCGGGGUCAGGGAUCGGCUCUGAUACCACUCUGUCACGCCCAAGACCCACUCCAAGGGCAUGACGGUCAUUUCACACCUCAAACCCGAAGGCUUAAAGUAUAAUCUGACCCAAACAAUCAUAUUGUAACUGGAUGUUACCAAUUACCAAAUACCUGUUCAGAGUAGCAGAACAAAAUCUAAAAUCCUCAAAAUUCAAUUUCCAAAUAACUUCCAAAUAUCAAAUGAUCCAAAUGAACAUAACUAACAGUUAAACAAAAUCCAACAUAAAAUCUUAAGUCAAAUCCUAAUGAUGACCAUUCCUCAGCCUAGCCAUCACUCCUCACCCGAACUAAGAGUACCUGAAGAAUUUUCAACAAUUGGGAAUGAGCUCACAGCCUAAUAAGGAAUAUUAAUGCAGUUCAUGAAUCAAAUAUUUUCAUUUUAAAUAGGAGAUAUCAUUUUUUUUUUUUCAUCAAAUAUUAGAGUUUCAAAAAUACCAAUAUAUUCAAAAUUCAACCAACCAUUUUCAUAUCAAAUUCAAACACUUUCACAUAAGAUUCAAUCAAAUCCAUUCAAUUUUCAUUACUCUGGUUAUCAAAUAUCAAAUGCCCAAUUAGGUGGGACUUUUCAAAUGGGUGGCUAGCUUCAAAUUGUUCCUGGUGGACGGAACUAAACACUACUAGUACUAGUAACCUCUAACCAAACCCCUAGAGGCUGGGGUCCAAAUCAAUUACAUUCCCACCAUGAAAUGUAAAGGUCAACUAUUAUAUCCCGUUGACAGGGCCGAAUAGUCAACUAUUAUAUCCCGUUGACAAGGGCCAAAUAAACCAGAGUGAUGGUUUUGUUCAAGUAUUCAAAUUUACACAACAUAAUAUCUCCAUAUUUUGUGUCAUAAAUGAAACAAAAUAUUCCAACAUAACAUUUAGUGCAAAACAAUUUGAUCCAUGCAUGAUAACAAAAUAUCAUUUUCUUUUCCACAAUUCAAAAUAACGUAUAAAAUAAUUUAAUUUUAUAAAUAUUACAUUAACUUCCUUUACCUUAAAAGAAAUCCUCCAAAAACUUUGGAGAAAAAUAAUCCUGAAAAUCUACUCUUCACCUAACAAAACAUAAGAGAAACAAUUAUUACUAUUUAUUUAUAAUUUAACUAAUCUAUUCCUUAUUUAAAUAAACUAAUAAAUUCCCAAUUUAUUUCUAAUAACACAUUACUAAUUUAAUUAAAUUAUAAUUUUAUUUCAUUAUAAAAUUCUAUAUAUAUAUAUAUAUAUAUAUAUAUAUAUUUUGCUAAAUCUAUUAUUACUAUUAUCUUAAUUAUAAAUCUAAAACUAAAUAUUAUUAUUUUAAUUAACCAAUUCCAAAGCCACUCAACCUAUCUCGGGUACACCAAACCAAAAAGCAAGUUUUUUUUUUUUUUUCAUUGCCAUCAUGAUCCAUUAUAUAUAUAUAUAUAUAAAAGGGCUUCCUGGCGCACGCCUUUUUUUUUUUGUUCCAUGCUUCCAAUAACACAGUACACGUAUGCCCUUUUUUGUUUUUUUUUUUUUUUUAAUAAAAUUAACCCUAACCUAAAAUCGAAACCUUCCAAGAAAAUUUUUUUUUUCAUCUAAUAAAACUUAAGAUCUCCCAAAUUCAAAUACUAAAAUCAAAAUAUUAAAUUUUCACUAUUUGAUAUUAAAACGAAUUAAAAAAAAAUAAUCUAACCCUAAUCUAAAUUUGGGGUUUUCCAAAAAAAAAAUAUCUAAUAUGCUUGAAAUUAACUAAUGACUCUAAAAUAAUAAUCUAGGGGUUAGAAACUUACCUAUAGAGGUUUGUUCUUCAAACCUUAAAAUCUGACCUCAACUUCACGUUCUCUGGAAACUCUCUGCGAACAGGAAUACAAUUCAAAAAAGAACAGGAAGAAGAGAAUUUUCUAUUUAUACCUAGGGUAUUAAUCGUAAGGAGUGUUUGUCUGUUUGACCCCGCAAUCUCAUGGGACACAACGAGGACGUUGUGUCUGCAUGGGGGGUAUUUGUGAUGUCCCACAUCGGAUAGGGGAGGAAGUUCCUGACGCUAUAUAUGUAGAGACUCUUCUUAACCAAGUAGACGCGUUUUAAAGCCGUGAGGGCCCCCUUAGGCCCAAAGCGGACAAUAUCUACAUGGUUGGGUACGGGUCGUUACAAAUGGUAUCAGAGCUGAUCCCCAACCCCGGUGUGGGGGUUUGUUUGGCUUUGUCUGUUUGGCCCCGCAAUCCCAUGGGACAUAACGAGGACGUUGUGUCUCCAUGGGGCGGGGCGGGGGGGGGGGGGGGGGGGGGGGGGGUUUUUUUAUUCCCCCCCCCGAAAGGGGGGAAAGUUUUGGGGGGUUUUUUUUUUAAAACCCCCCUUUACCAAAAAAAACCCUUUUUAAACGGGGGGGGGCCCCUUGGGCCCAAAAGGAAAAAAAAUUAAAUGGGGGGGGGGGGGGGGUUUCCAAAAGGGGGGGAAAAAAGGACCCCAAAAAGGGGGGGAAAAGGGGGCUUUUUUUUGGAAAAAUUUUCCCCGGGUUUUUUUUUUUCCCCCCCCUUUUUAAAAAAUUUUUCCCCCCCUUUUUUUUUUUUUUUUUUUUUUUUUUAAAAAAAAAUUUUUUGGGGCUAACCGUUUUUUUUUUUUUGGUGCGGGGGAAAAAAAAAAAAAAAAAAAAAAAAAAAUUUUGUAUUUUUUGGGGGGGGGGGCCCCCCCUCAAAAGGGGGUUCUUUAAAAAAAUACCCCCCCCGGGGGCCCCUUUUUUGGGGGUUUUUUUNNNNNNNNNNNNNNNNNNNNNNNNNNNNNNNNNNNNNNNNNNNNNNNNNNNNNNNNNNNNNNNNNNNNNNNNNNNNNNNNNNNNNNNNNNNNNNNNNNNNAAAAAAAUAAAUCUACCCGUAAUCUAAAUGAGGGGGUUUCCCCAAAAAAAAAAUAUUUAUUAUGCGGGAAAAUUAAAUAAAGACUCUAAAAUAAUAAAUCUAGGGGUUAGAAAUUUACUUAUAGAGGUUUGUUUUUCAAAACAUUAAAAUAAGACCUCAAUUUCACUUUUUCUGGAAACUCUCUGCGAACAGGAAUACAAUUCAAAAAAGAACAGGAAGAAGAGAAUUUUCUAUUUAUACAUAGGGUAUUAAUCGUAAGGAGUGUUUUUCUGUUUGACCCCGCAAUCUCAUGGGACACAACGAGGACGGGGGGGGGGGGGGGGGGGUGUUUGUGAUAUCCCACAUCGGAUAGGGGAGCAAGUUCCUGGCGCUAUAUAUGUAGAGACUCCUCUUAACCAAGUAGACGCGUUUUAAAGCCGUGAGGGCCCCCUUGGGCCCAAAGCGGACAAUAUCUACAUGGUUGGGUGCGGGUCGUUACAGUAAGGGGGAGAAACAAGGAACCAGAGGAAGGAAGCAGAAGGCUAGCUUAUUCGGUAUACAUUUCCUCUGGUUCUUUUGUUCUCUCCCUCUGUUUAAUAUAAUUCUUACCUCAAUUUAAUUUAAUUCUUAUUGAUUUCUAUAAAUAUAUAUUUUAGGUCUAUACAGUUUCAUUUUUAUUGGUUCAUGUAAAUAUAUAUAUAUAUAUAUAUAUAUAUAUUGUAUAUUUUGUUGAGGUUGCCUGCCCUUCAUAUGAGGGUUCCGUUAACAAUUAUCCGCGUCCUGGACGUCCUUUGGUUGGUGUUUUUUUGGGAGACCGGGGCGGACCAGGAACGGAGAAAGAUUUACACAGUAAGAGAUAGAAACAGGAAAUCGGAGAAAGAAAGCAAUAGAGUAGGUUCAGUGCACAUUUUAUUUCUCUCAUCUAUCUCAUCUAAUUCUUAUUGAUUUCUAUAAACAUAUUUUUUUUAUAUAUAUUUUUAUUAGGUUUGUAUAGUUUCAAUUUGUUAGGUCUUGCUAGUUUUUGGUGAAGGAUAGCUUGCUCGAAGCCGCUUCAAGCAGUACUACUUGGGGGAACCUUUCCAGGUAUGGCGGCUGUACGCUUCUUUUUAUUUUUUAUGAAUUUGCUCCAUUUUAUGCCGAUUUUCUGGGUAUUUAAUUGAUGACUGAUGUGGAAAUUAAGUUUUAAAUGGUUGUUUUUACUGAAUCUGAAUUUGUUUUCAUACUUAACUCUGUUUUGGUUUUCUACUAAUACCUUUUAUUUUCCUCUAAAUACCUAACGUAUGGACUGUUCUUGGUUGGAUACUUGCUAAUCAUGCCACUGCUCUCUGCUUGUCCCACUUACGUUCAAGCACUUGGAUAACACAAUGAAAUGUGGCUUCCUCUAACUGUUUGUCUGUACCACUUUUGUGUUUUACUUUCUUCAUAUCAGAAGAUUAAAAUGAUUUUUGUGCCUUUUCUAUGAUAAAUGAAAAAUAAUUAUUCCCCUUUUUACCCCUAUUUGAUUCAGCGGAUGGUUUGUUUCACGUUCUAUUUUCCAGGGGACCUAAUAAGUUUGAAACUGUUUAUAAUGUUUUGUUUUUCGUAUUUUAGUAUCAACACACCCAACUCUCAUAUAAGGCGUUGCAAUUGAUAGAAUCAAAGGCUGGACAUGGAUCAAAUUGCUGGCCCAAGCAGUAGACGAGGUAUGAAAAGUGUUUGAAAAGUCUGUUUAAAAUUGUCAAGUUGGAAAUAUUUAGUUACCAAGAUAUGAUUAUGAGUUAUUAAAUGGCAAAAUGAAUAAAAAUUCGUAAUUUUGAGGUUUUUCUUUGAUACACUUAACCAUGUAACCUAUAUUUAUGAAAAUCAAAUAAAAUUGUUUGGAAUCUAUUAAACAUUAUGAUUAAAUAUAUUAUAGCUUUGUAUAAUAUAGAUCAACCCAGUUACUCACCAUGUAGCUUAUUAGGGUUUUUAUUUUAUUUAUUUAUUUAUUUAUUGUUAAUUUGAAUUAAAUUAAACUGCCAAAUGCAAUAUAAUUUAAGAUAUUUGUAAGCUCUAUUUGAUAGUAUUAGAGGUUUAUGUAACAUAUUUGUUAACUAAACUACCAAAUGAGGGAUAUUAUUAAUUAUUGCAUUAGGUUAUCUAAUUUAAACUGAUUAUUUUCUCAUGGUCUUGUAGGUUUAGGACAUUUUUAGAUUAUUAUGUCUUACUCUUUAUUUAAUAUUUAAAGGUGUUGCAUAAUUAAUCAAGAUGAGAGAGACAAGUCUUACUCUGUCCAAGAAGAAUUAAUUAGGAUCUAUCUUAUCGUUAAAUGGAUGUUAGGCUUUAAGCAAGAGGGGUGUUAGUAUUGAUUUUAAAGUACUCGUGAGUGAGUCGACGUUUUAGCAUUACCCCAUGCUCAAAGUAGAAUUCUAUGGAAUUCUAAAAUGUUUCUUUUUUAAGAGUUUUUUCUUUCUGGAAAAUCUUAGAUUUUCUUUUUAUAGGUAAAAAGAAAAUCUAAAAUUUAGAGGGUCAUCAGAAUGCACACGAAGCAUAUAAAAAACAUUUUUCGGUUAAGUCAAGGGGAAACAACAAAUACAAUUUGCCCUCGGCCUAAGCCUAAAGCAUAAAAGACCAAGAGAAAACAAAAACCUCGAGAUGACCUUCUUGUAUGCUUGUCGACCAAACUGGUUGCUGUGACCCAACCAUGACAAAAAGAUGAAACAAAAAAAAUGCAUCUUCUACCCUUGACUCUUUCUGAGGCCACAGUUUUUUGAGUUGCGCCAAGAUCCUUGCACUGAAGCCCACUGUCGGCAAGCCCAACGAGUCGGUGAAAGUUUUCGGGUUGCUUGAGGACGGAUUCGCCAUAGACACCCAUGCUCUAGAAACCCAGCCUGGACAUGACCCAUUUGCAUUCACUUGUUCUGAGAAACCGAAAAAUCCAUUUUAGGGGACCGUAAUCAUUUCCUAGAGAAUUAACAGAAAAAACCACCUCACAUCCCUUCGAAUCAAGACCAACCCCAUAAAAUGCAAAAGUUGCUCAUGUCUCCAAGGGAGAAAGAGAGAAAGAAAAAGUACCAGAAUGUCCUACCGCUACUUCCAUAAGGGCAAUUUCUCCAACUGCAGCAAGUGAAGUAGCACUCUCACGUUCUCAACAGCGCAUCUCUCCCGUGGCUUCACCGCUAUCCUCUAGACCAGAAAACGCAUAACUCGAAACGUCAGUAGAAAUAAAUGGUUGUACUUCCCACCACAAUUGAUGGAGAAGCAAGAGAAGUCAUCCACCGCCGUCAAUAUCCCAAGCAUCCUUCUCUCAUCUAAUCUUGCUAAAGCCACGCAAGUAUCCCUAAUCUUUUUUAACGUCUUCGGACUCCACAAGUGCAAAGGAAGCCUUACCACGCUAACCCACACUUCCUUGGCAUGCGCACCUUUUCGACAACAGUCUACCUCGAGGGACGACCUAUCCAAGCGCAAAACCAUUUCCUUAAACCUUUUUACACCACUUGGCAAAACAAUCUCUUUAUCACAGCCAUGAUCAUACUCGAACUAUAGAACAACACCCCUUAGCAAGAUAAUCCUUAUCACCCCUUAGAGACCAAUCAUGACCUACACAACUCCUGAACCCAAGAAAAUCUGGGGUUAGGUAUAGAAAAUCUACCCAUCUCCCUACUAGACAACUACUCAAUUUCUCUAUCCGGGUUGAACCUCCUCAUCAAACUGAAUCCAAAUUGUUUCAUUCACCAAAUCGUGCUCUUUAUAACCAAGUCUACAAUAAACCCCUUCAAUGGAUACACUGAACUAUCCAUGUUCAAAGACCUUGAGGUAGUUGGGUAUGGAAGCCUCAUUUCCUUUGACGAAACUACUCAGAGAAAGUGAAGUUUGUCGGCCGGGAUAGACCCUAUCCCCUAGGAUACUUGUCACGACCCAAAUUCCGGGCGACCCAAAAUUUGACCCAUGACCCCAGGUCAAAGGUUUGACCCUAAGAGUUCCUCCUAUUCCACGUUGGCAGUCAACCAAAACACUCUGGAUUUUUUUUUUAUAUACAUCUCACUAGAAUUCUCAUAAACCACAAUAUCCCAAAACUACUCAAAACAACAAGAUUAAAUAAAUAUUCAUUAGAGUCCAAAAUAAAAUUUCACAAUUAACACUUAAUCAAAAUAAAGCUUCAUAACAAAUCCAUGAGUCAUAAUUACUAAAACAAAUCCAUGAGUCAUAAUUACUAAAACACAAUAACAGAAAAUGUCACGUUCCACUAGGCCGCUCCAGGAGCAUCCUGAAGUCCUCCCUGCCCCACCUGUGGAUCCUCAAGAGAGAUAUCUGCAUCUAAAAAUGUGUAACAAGGAAGGGGUGAGCAUUUCCACAUUGCUCAGUAGGGUGCCUAACACCCAAGGGGUUAAGGGGAUUACUAAGUUUCAAAGAAUACGAAAAGAACACUUCAACACCAUAGGAACAAUUCAACAAUAUCAAUCAAACCACAUAGUUUAAUAUAUAAUUCUAUACACAAUUUCACAAUAUUCAACAAUUACAGGAAUGCACAUGAACGUGUGACACACAGUCAUACAAUGCACUAUUGUUCUCAGGCUUUCACCGAAUGAUACGCGUCCGCACCCAAAUACACUCCCCAUUCGGAGUUGAUUCGUCCCUAGCAGCGGCAGUGGCAAUGGCACCAUCUGAUUCGGGGUUCGAUCCCCGGCAACGGCGCCAUUUGAUUCGUGCCCAAUUGAUGUCUCAGCUGAUUCGUGUCUAGCUGGUGCUCCUUGAUUGAGGGAUUAAUCAACAAAAUUUAUAACCUAUUACACCAUAUACUAGGGUAGCAAAGACAAAGCUACUAUAGCAUAGUGGCUCUAGGAUCGUUCACUGGGAUGGGUUUUCACUUCACAAAUGAUAUUAAUUCAAAGUUGAAUUGGUGCCUUUUCAUUUCAAGGUUAGCUUUAAAAGAAAACAUAAAAAUGUUUGAAUGAAAAAGGUUUGGUUUUACACUAACCAAAAAUAGUAACUGAUUUUACUUACAAAGAAAAGUGUUUCUUGGAGUUCAGAUCACUAGGCUCAGGUUCCUCAUACAAAAAAGAGAGUUCCGGUCACUUGUUUCUUUUCCUCGCAUUAGAGAAUUAACAUAUAGUUCCUUCUCCAACCGGUGUUGUACAGAUGCUUCCCAUUAAUGGGUUCAAACACUAAAUCCCUCUCACUGAUGCACCUUGCAAUGACUCAUACCUCUCACCUAGCACUUGCCAUUCAAGGUGAUCUUUAACCUUGGAUUACCCGUCAAAAGCUCGCAAGAGAUAACUAAUGGAUGUCUCCUUGGAGUCCAAAAGCUUACCAAGUGUUGGCUAUUCUAGAAAAUCCUACCUUCAAGUCACCUCCCAAAGGCUCGCAAUGGGUAAACUAGUGCAUCUCCAUGGACGGAGAUCACUUGCCUUACCAAGUGUUGGCCCAGGUGAUUUAAAGGCGUUUUAAGUUAACUAAAAAGAUAAAAACCAUUAACGGGUUACACUUUCUCUUCAUUAAAAACUAAAACAACAAAACUUCCAAAUUAUGCAUGUGGAAACUUACCCGGCUUUCCUUACUCCAAGAGACAAAAAGCUUAGCCUCUCAUCCUCUUAGGAAAAAUCCUCAGAGUUUGGUUAGCUAGAAAUAAAAAGAAAUGAAAAAUCAAAGAGAAGGAAAAACAGAGCAAGGCUCUGUAUAUUCUAUAUAUUUAUCGAUAUGGAUUACAUGAUACUCUUACAGUGGAUGCAAGGGAAUAUAUAUAGAGACAUUUUUCCAACCUUCCCAACUAAGAAAUCUUAUGGUUGGUGGAUUACAAGGAGAAGAAUGGAAAUUCAUACAAAAAUAUCUGAAGAAAAAUAUCCCAAAGUGUCGGUCACAAAUAUCGGGGUGCUUCAGGAACCAUUUCGCAAGAGAAAAUGGUGUCUGCGAGAUUUCGCAGGCACUCAAGAAGGGUUGCGAAAUUACUUCGCAUCAACAAGCUGAACUCGCACCGCUGCGAAGUUGGAUUUCAUCUUGUGGUGUUUGGCUUCCAUCGCGACGUGAAACUUCAAGAGGAAUUUCAAAACACUGUACAAAAAGGCUGCGAAAUCAUCUCGCAACAAAAGGGUGAUUUCGCAACACUUUGCAAAUUUCUUCCUUCAGCUUGGAGUGAUUGACUUGCAGUGGCUGUAACUUCUUCGUUUCAACUCCAAAUUGCACACCGUUUGAAGCAUUGGAUUCUUGACUUCCUGAGCUUUGAAAUGGUAUAUAGAAUGUACAAAAUUGACUUCGGGAAGUGCUCCAAAAGUGCACAAGAAAACUGCAGCUGUUGUCCUAUGUUUUCUUCACUCUGUUUUUCCUCUCUCCUUGCUUCUCUCCUUGCAUACUUUGAACGACUUUGGCAAAGGGCUAUGGAGCUCCAAAGCUUGGUUCUUCAUUAAUUUGAGCUCUUCAUUGCUUUGCCAUGGAUUCCAAAUAACUCUCCUCAAUCCUGGAUUGUUUUGGUGAUCAAAUUACUAACAAAAACACCAAAACUUACACAAUUUGAUUAGAAAUGAUUGCAAGGGUCCUUAACAUGUUAAUUGGGUUAAAAGGCAAUAACUACUACUCAAAAGUGUUUAAAAGAGUUAAUUACAAGCUAUCAAAUAGCACUUUUUGAGUAGUAAUCAGUCUUCCUGGGGUAACUUUUGGGUCUUUCACCCUAGGGAUCUCUCUCCCUUCUUAAUUCGUCCCACACGACUUUCACUUCUCAUCACUAUUUCUUUUUUUUUUUUUUUUCCAUUUCAUACACUUUUCACAAUCUUCAUAAUUUUAUUUAUUUUCCACAUAACCAUGAUGCAAAUGAAUGCCACAAUUCCAAGGUUCCUCAAUAAUUCAACAAUUUCAACAUUCCCCAAUAAUCCAAUAAAAUAAUUUCACACAUUAAAAUUUCUGAUAAUAUCCCAAAUAAAUAUUCAAAAAUUUGCAUAUCAAAAAUCUUGAAAUUUUACCAUACUUACGGAAUUUUUCAACCAUUAUAAUAAUUUCUAAUAUUCGAAAUUAACUAACUUUCUAUCAUAAAAAUUCCAAAAAUUUUCUAACUAAUGCCUAAAAAUUCACCAAUUACUAUUUUUGAAAUUUAGCCCUAAUUUUGGAAUUUUUCAACCCUUCAAAUAAUUUUUUUACAAUUCAAAACAAUUAAUUAUCAAUCAAAAUCAAUUUCCCGCAAUUACAAAAAUUCCAAACAAAUUCCAAAUAUUCUAGAAAAAUUCAUACAAUCCCCAUAAUUCCUAAUUAACUCAUAAUGACAAUAUUUACAAUUUUUUUCAAGGGAAAAACAUAAAAAUUUAAGUUUUAAGGUUAGGGUCCCCUACCAAAGAUCUAAGAAUUCAGCUGCUAAAAAUACAAUUGGCCACUGUAUGAUUGUUCCCCUCGUCGAGUAGAACACACCCUCCAAAUCUGAGUUGAAACGGAGGUCGUUUGACCACCCAAACGACCGGUCAAAGCUCCGGCGAGGUGAGAUUUUCUAUAGUGCCGCUGCCCCUUUUCUCCCAGAUCUGCUACUGUUCCCUUCUUUUCCACUUAAGCCCAUUUCUUUUCAUUUUAAUCCACUUACCAAACAGCCCACUCAAGCCCAACCCAAGUUCAAAAUAAACCCAAUAACUAACUCCCAUUUUUCUUUUAAAACCCUAUUUCAUCCAAGCCCAAAUUACUCCAUUUUCAUUUUUUUUUUUCUUUUCUCUUUAUUUUUAUAAAACACACAAUUUAAUAUUUUUCUCAAUUUUUUAUUAAUAAGGAAUUUAAUUUAAUUAACUAUUAUUUUUUUUCUAAUUAAUUUUAAUUAAUUAACUUUUCAUUUUUGUUUUCGUUUUUUUUUCUUUUCCGGAAAUUCCCAAUUACUAAAAUCCUAAGAAAUUUCCACCCUAAGGCUGACAUGGCAUAAAAUUUUCAACUCACCUAAUUGACCAACACAAUAAACUGAAUUUCACCAAUCCAAAACUAACACCUGUUCUUCAGGCACUUUUCUUUUUGACUUUUCAACCAUCAUUUAAAAUAAGACUUUUCAAACUAAAAAUGCUAACGUGACAUAAAAUACCCGGUCAUUACAUCCUACCCCCCUAAAAGAAAUUUCGUCCCGAAAUUUAAACUAGCUUACCUUAAAAUUCAUAGAAGAGUUGCGAAUAGUGUCGUCUCAUUUCUUCCUCAGGUUCCCAAGUGGCUUCUUCUAUCCCAUGGUGUUGCCACCACACUUUGACUGCAGGAAUCACCUUGUUCCUAAACCUAUGCUCUCCAACUUCCAGAAUUCGUAAAGGUUCCUCCACAUAAGAAGUAUUUUCACUAAUCUGAACAUCUUGCAAAUCCACUACCCAAGUUGGAUCUGGAGUACACUUCCUUAGCAUUGACACAUGGAAAACAUCAUGCACAAGGGACAACUGUUGAGGCAAAAUUAACUUGUAUGCCACUGUGCCAACUCUCUUAUCAAUCUGAAAUGGUCCCACAAACCUAGGGGCUAACUUCCCCUUCUUCCCAAAUCGAAAUAUGCCUCUUCGAGGGGACACUUUUACAAACACCCAAUCCCCUUCCUCAAACUCCAAGGGUCUUCUCCUUUUGUCUGCAUAACUUUUCUGUCUAUCUUGGGCAGUCUUAAGUUUUUCCUUGAUGAGUUGUAUCUUCUCUGUAGUCUCUUAGACAAUCUCAGGUCCCAACAAACGACUUUCACCCAUCUCUAUCCAACACAAGGGCGACCUACAAGGUCUCCCAUAAAGUGCUUCAUAAGGUGCCAUGCCAAUACUAGAUUGGUAACUGUUGUUAUAAGCAAACUCUACUAAAGGUAAGUAAUCUGCCUAAUUUCCUCCAAAAUCCAAAACACAAGCCCUUAACAUGUUUUCUAAGAUCUGGAUCACUAUUUCUGAUUGACCAUCUGUCUGAGGGUGAAAAGCGGUGCUAAAAUUCAGUUGAGUGCCCAAAGCCCUUUGUAAACUCUGCCAAAAUUGAGAAGUAAACUUAGGGUCCCUGUCAGACACUAUAGAUACAGGUAUCCCAUGCAAUCUCACAAUCUCCUGUAUAUACAACUUAGCCAAAGAGUUCAUGGAAUCAGUAGUUUUCAUGGCUAGAAAAUGAGCUGACUUAGUAAGACGGUCCACAAUCACCCAAACUCCAUUUUUCUUGCUUUUAGUUCUUGGCAACCCUAUCACAAAGUCCAUAGUGAUAUUAUCCCACUUCCACUCAGGUAUAGGUAAAGGUUGCAACAAUCCUGCAGGCCUCUGGUGUUCAGCCUUCACUUGCUGACAAAUCUGACAAUUAGCUACAACCUGAGCAAUAUCUCUCUUCAUCCCACUCCACCAAAACUGUCUCUUUAAGUCUUGAUACAUCUUGGUAUUCCCAGGAUGGAUGGUAUACUUCGCCCUAUGAGCAUUUGCUAGAAGUUCAUUUCUCAACUCCACAUCUUUUGGCACACACAAUCUCCCUUUGAACCUCACACUCCCAUCUUCAUACAUAGACCAAUUUUCAUCUAUUUCACCUGCUACCAACUGGGCUUUAACCUUUUCUAAAAACUCAUCAUGAACUUGGGCCUCCACUAUUCUCUGGAUAACCAUUGGUCUAGCUGAUAUACUGUACAAGCAUGGACCAUGCCCUUCCAAACCAAGACAUAAUUCAAAAUCCUCAAUAACUGCAUGCAUCUCAAACUCUCUCAACUCCAAGCUAGACAACUGGCCAACACUCUUCCUACUCAAGGCAUCUGCUACAACAUUCACCUUUCUUGGAUGAUAAUGAAGAGCAAAAUCAUAAUCUUCCAAUGUCUCCAUCCAUCUCCUUUGCCUAGAGUUCAGAUCCUUUUGAGUGAAAAUAUAUUUCAAACUCUUGUGAUCAGAGUACACCUCAAACUUCUCUCCAUACAAAUAGUGUCUCCAAGUCUUAAGGGCAAACACCACUACUGCAAGCUCCAAAUCAUGUGUUGGAUAAUUCCGCUCAUGCUGCUUUAACUGUCUUGAGGCAUAAGCUACCACCUUGCCUUGCUGCAUUAGCACACACCCUAGCCCCACUGUGGAAGCAUCACAAUAAAUUGUAAACAACUCUCCACUAAUAGGAGCAGUUAACACUAGAGCAGUGGUCAAUUUCCGCUUCAACUCCUGGAAAGCAUUCUCAUACUCCUCAUUCCAAUCAAACUUCACCCCAUUUCUAGUCAACCGAGUCAUUGGUACUGCAAUUCUAGAGAAGUCUUCCACAAACCUCCUAUAAUAUCCAGCCAACCCCAAGAAACUUCUAACCUCAAAUACAUUGGUAGGCCUUUGCCACUCCUAAACAGCUUCCACCUUGGAAUGGUCUACUGCUAUUCCUGCCUCAGAAACCACAUGGCCUAAGAAAUUCACUUCAGUAAGCCAAAACUCACUUUUUUCCAACUUCCCAUACAACUGAUGUCUUCUUAAAGUUUUAAGAGUGGUCACCAAAUGCUGUUUAUGCUCCUCCAAACUCCUAGAGUAAAUCAAAAUGUCAUCCACAAACACAAUCACAAACUGAUCUAAGUAAGCAUGAAAUACUCUGUUCAUUAAAUCCAUGAAAGCAGCGGGGGCAUUAGUUNNNNNNNNNNNNNNNNNNNNNNNNNNNNNNNNNNNNNNNNNNNNNNNNNNNNNNNNNNNNNNNNNNNNNNNNNNNNNNNNNNNNNNNNNNNNNNNNNNNNUUAGUGUGCCAUCCUUCUUCUUCACAAACAACACUGGGGCUCCCCAUGGCGACGUACUCGGACGAAUAAAACCUUUACCCAACAAUUCAUCCAACUGAGUUUUCAAUUCCUUCAACUCAAGAGGGGCCAUCCUAUAAGGGGAUACUGAAAUAGGAUCAGUUCCUGGGAAUACUUCAAUAAAGAAAUCAAAUUCUCUAUGAGGUGGUAAACCUGGAAACUCAUCUGGGAAUACAUCUUGAAACUUUCUCACCACUGGAAUUUCUGCAAUGUCCUUCUAGGCUUUCUCCUUACCACGAAGGUAAGCUAGGAAAUUUAUUGAUCCCUUCCUCAACACAUACUGAUAGCACGGAUUGGAUUGCGAAAAAAGCAAACUAACACACUUUCCUCCAACAAAGCAAACCUCAAAUCCCUCUGGCAGACAAAAUAUUAUCCUGCGGCGAUGACAAUCAAUAAUUGCUCUAUACACUGCCAACCAAUCCAUUCCCAAGAUAACAUCAUACCCAGUCAUAUCUAAAAUCCUCAAAUCCACAUUAAGUGCUAUAUCCACCAAGGUAAUAACGCACCCCUUGCAUAUUCUAUCAACUUUAGAGUUCGUACCCAUAGGGGAUUCAAUAAGUAACAAAUUCUCUACCCUUUCUGAUUUCAACCCUGAUGCAUUAGCACAAGAUAUAGAAAUGAAAGAAUGAGUUGCACCAGUAUCAAACAAAACAUGCACCCAAGUACUAUAUACCAAAAUCAUACCUUCCACCAAGAGAGCGUCCUCCUCUGACUCUGUUGGGGUCAAGGCAAAAACUCUCCCAGCUGUCUGCCUUCCCCUACCUCUAGCAUUCGACCCCUGAGAAGAGCGGGUCUGACUCGUGGUAGCUGUCCUAGUUCCCUGUGCUGCUGGGGGUAAUUGUGGCAUCUGAUAGUAAGGCAACUGAAACUGAGGGGGCUGGAAAGGCACUACUGACUGUUAUUGAGAACUUCCCUGAGACUGAGGUCGAGCCUGCUGUGCACCUUGCACUGGGCAAGCCCUCCAUAAAUGGUCUCCUGCUCCACAACCAUAACAUACUCUAUUAGCAGCUGCCCUCUGAGCAAUCUGCCCCCCUCCUGCAUAGAACGAGGGACGCCUCUCAAACUGCUAAGUCCUCUGCCUCUGCUGUGGCCCUUGGGAACUUUCCCUCAUUCUUUGUUUCCCUUUUCUGUCCCCCUUUUGCUCUCGAAUUUGGUUAGUUUCGUCAAUGUCCUGCUCCACCAACAAAGCCCUCUUAACCAACUCAGAAUAGUCCCUUAUUGCCAAUGGGACUAAUCUAUUCCUAAUAGCAGGCCUCAACCCCUGCUGGAACCUUCUAGCCUUUUCUCCUUCCUCCCCGAUCAUCCCCAAAGCAAAUCUAGACAACUCCGAAAAGCGUGACUCGUACUCCAGCACCGACAUGGUUCCCUGGAUGAGGUGCUCAAACUCCAUCCUCUUGGCAUGCUUAGCCACCUCCCCAAAAUACUUGCCUAGGAAGAUUCUCUCAAAUUCCUCCCAGGUCAUAACCUCAGUGUCAUACACCCUUUUCAUUGAUUCCCACCAGAAAUCAGCUUUAUCAACAAGCAUAUAUGUUGCUAGACCUACCCUUCUUUCCUCAGGUAUGUCCAGUCCCACCAGAAUUCUUCUCAUCCUCCUCAACCAAUGCUCAGUUGCUUCAGCAUUGGGCUCUCCAUUAAAAGAUGGAGGUUGCAUCACCAUGAACCUCUUUAUUGCUUCCAUUUGGCUCAUUACUGGCCUCUCAGUGCGGUUCCUCCUAUGUGAGUGGCCUGAAUCCUCAUGGCCCUGGGUACCUCCUGAUCUCCUGGAACCCUGGCCUCUCAUCAAUUCAACAGUUUCUCUCAACUCUCUUCUUACUUCUCGGAGUUCUUCUCUUACCGUCUCCAACUCCUCAUUCCUCUCUGAUCUUCCUCCUCUGGUCCUUCCCGCCAUUUCAAGUUUAACAAACCCUAAUUCAAUCACAUUACUAAGGUGAGCAAAAAUAAAUUUCACAUAUACACACUUAGCAACUUCAACAAUUAUCAAAACUUUCACUUUCAUACACUCAUAAUACAUAAUUCAAUUAAUCAUCAACUAGUUAAUUAACACAUACAAAAAUCAUAACAUUACAACACACAUAAACACCCAAGGUAUUAUUGCAACCUUGGCUCUGAUACCACGCUGUCACGACCCUAAUUCCGGGCUACCCAAAAUUUGACCCGUGACCCCAGGUCAAAGGUUUGACACUAAGGGUUCCUCCUAUUCCAUGUUGGCAGUCAACCAAAACACUUUGGAUUUUUUUUUUUUUUAUAUAUACAUCCCACUAGAAUUCUCAUAAACCACAAUAUCCCAAAACUACUCAAAACAACAAAAUUAAAUAAAUAUUCAUUAUAGUCCAAAAUAAAAUUUCACAAUUAACACUUAAUCAAAAUAAAGCUUCAUAACAAAUCCAUGAGUCAUAAUUACUAAAACAAAUCCCAAAAUCCAAACAAAAAACACAAUAACAGAAAAUGUCACGCUCCACUAGGCCGCUCUAGGAGCAUCCUGAAGUCCUCCCUGCCCCACCUGUGGAUCCUCAAGAGAGAUAUCUGCAUCUAAAAAUGUGUAACAAGGAAGGGGUGAGCAUUUUCACAUUGCUCAAUAGGGUGCCUAACACCCAAGGGGUUAAGGGGAUUACUAAGUUUCAAAGAAUACGAAAAGAACACUUCAACACCACAGGAACAAUUCAAAAAUAUCAAUCAAACCACAUAGUUUAAUAUAUAAUUUUAUAUACAAUUUCACAAUAUUCAACAAUUACAGGAAUGCACAUGAACGUGUGACACACAGUCAUACAAUGCACUAUUGUUCUCAGGCUUUCACCGAAGGAUACGCGUCCGCACCCAAAUACACUCCCCAUUCGGAGUCUUCCCGGGGUAACUUUUGGGUCUUUCACCCUAGGGAUCUCUCUCCCUUCUUAAUUCGCCCCACACGACUUUCACUUCUCAUCACUAUUUUUUUUUUUUCCAUUUCAUACACUUUUCACAAUCUUCAUAAUUUUAUUUAUUUUCCACAUAACCAUGAUGCAAAUGAAUGCCACAAUUCCAAGGUUCCUCAAUAAUUCAACAAUUUCAACAUUCCCCAAUAAUCCAAUAAAAUAAUUUCACACAUUAAAAUUUCUGAUAAUAUCCCAAAUAAAUAUUCAAAAAUUUGCAUAUCAAAAAUCUUGAAAUUUUACCAUACUUACGGAAUUUUUUAACCAUUAUAAUAAUUUCUAAUAUUUGAAAUUAACUAACUUUCUAUCAUAAAAAUUCCAAAAAUUUUCUAACUAAUGCCUAAAAAUUCACCAAUCACUAUUUUUGAAAUUUAGCCCUAAUUUUGGAAUUUUUCAACCCUUCCAAUAAUUUUUUUACAAUUCAAAACAAUUAAUUAUCAAUCAAAAUCAAUUUCCCGCAAUUACAAAAAUUCCAAACAAAUUCCAAAUAUUCUAGAAAAAUUCAUACAAUCCCCAUAAUUCCUAAUUAACUCAUAAUGACAAUAUUUACAAUUUUUUUUCAAGGGAAAAACAUAAAAAUUUAAGUUUUAGGGUUAGGGUCCCCUACCAUAGAUCUAAGAAUUCAGCCGCUAAAAAUAUGAUUGGCCAUCGUAGGAUUGUUCCUCUCGUCGAGUAGAACACCCCCUCCAAAUCUGAGUUGAAACGGAGGUCGUUUGACCACCCAAACGACCCGUCAAAGCUCCGGCGAGGUGAGAUUUUCUAUAGUGCCGCCGCCCCUUUUCUCCCAGAUCUGCUACUGUUCCCUUCUUUUCCACUUAAGCCCAUUUCUUUUCAUUUUAAUCCACUUACCAAACAGCCCACUCAAGCCCAUUUCGUUUCCUCUUAAACAGCCCACUCAAGCCCAACCCAAGUUCAAAAUAAGCCCAAUAACUAACUCCCAUUUUUCUUUUAAAACCCUAUUUCAUCCAAACCCAAAUUACUCCCUUUUCAUUUUUUUUUUAUUUUCUCUUUAUUUUUAUAAAACACACAAUUUAAUAUUUUUCUCAAUUUUUUAUUAAUAAGGAAUUUAAUUUAAUUAACUUUUUUUUUUCUAAUUAAUUUUAAUUAAUUAACUUUUCAUUUUUGUUUUCGUUUUUUUUUUCUUUUCCGAAAAUUCCCAAUUACUAAAAUCCUAAGAAAUUUCCACCCUAAGGCUGACAUGACAUAAAAUUUUCAACUCACCUAAUUGACCAACACAAUAAACCGAAUUUCACCAAUCCAAAACUAACACGUGUUCUUCAGGCACUUUUCUUUUUGACUUUUCAACCAUCAUUCAAAAUAAGACUUUUCAAACUAAAAAUGCUAACGUGGCAUAAAAUACCCAGUCAUUACAAUACUUCUUCCUUGAGGGAAGCUCAAGGUGAACCUUUUAGUCUCCACACAACAAAUCAAGCAAAUAAUGAACCCAUCUGCCUCAUAAGAGCUUAGUUCCAGUGUAAACUCUGUCUCGUCUUCCACCCAUGUUUUGUUGCACAAAUUUUCAUCCUCAGACCUAUAACAAGCUUCCACAUCUUCCAACAAACAACACAAGUUCCUUUUCCCACACCUGAUCCACCUGGACACACCUCUGCAUCUCUCCAAAAUUCUCUUUUAGUUUCCCUCCAAACGUCUCUAUUAAGAUAUCAAAUGACUUUGAUCCUAUUGCAAAACAACACCUACCAUUUCUCGUCUCUCAUUGUAUAUUGUCUGGGAAGAGUAUAAAUGUGGAAAGCGUUUUUUGCUUGUCCCACAUAGGAAAAAGUGGAACACUUUUAGUGGGUUUAUGCCCACUCGCCUUAGCCUAAUGGGCCUUUGAGUGGGAAAAGCUCGCAUGCUCAUGGGGUCGAAUCCCAUUUGAGUGGGUUUUUAAUGUUCACUUUCUCUCCUCCUUCCUUCCUGUGUACGGGUGCGUUAUUCGCUAAUUUUUAUUUGUUACUCUUUUACUUUUUGUCAACUCUUUGGGAAGAACCCUAGAGUUCCAAUGAGAUUGUACUAGUAGAUGUCUUGUAACAUUUACAACUAGACUCUUGUUCUAUUUACAAGUAGAGUCUUAUUCGGAAUGUCAUGCAUUCGAGUAAGAGCAUUUGCCUUUCUUCUCUAUGUAAAUAAAAGGUUGGAAUGAUUUCAAGACCCUCAACAAAAGAAUGGAUUAAGGUGACAUUUUUAUUCGCUAUGAAAAAUAGUUUUGUUGUUUUUUUUUUUUUUUGUUUUUGUCGCUAAUAAAUUUUGCUCAUUAAGUUCUUGUUUGAUGUGCCCUUGUUAGAACACUAUAAUAGUUGUUCUUUUUGGGUUAAUGGUCUCAAUCAUGAAUUGAUAAAAUUUCAUAUCCUUUUUCUUUUGGAUUCCAAGCUCGGUUUUUUCUUAAUCAUUGUGGAAGACGAAGCGGUUCGCUAGCCUCUACAUCUAUAGAUCCUACGUAAUAAUUAAACUUGGUGGUGGCUCGUUGUUUGAUGAGUGAUUCCUUGAUCACUAGAUCUCGAGAUUCCACCUUAUUCUUGGUUGAUUGGCAUUCUUGUAAGCUAAUCUUGCAUACUAAUUCUAGGGGUCCUAGGUGAUGCACCAACCAAAGAAUGUUUAUUCCCUUAGCCAUAAAACAUGAGAUUGGCAAUGCUUGUUGCUCAUUAGUCUGUCAUUAAUAAGAUUUCUAGCUAUUGUUUUUAUUUCACUUACAAGUAAAGUCUUGUUCUAUGUUAGUGACAUAUAAAACUAAGACACUCCUCACUUUCCAAACACCAAUUUUUUGAAGAGUUUUUCAUAGCACUUUUCAUACAUCUAUGUAGAGGAAAUUUUCAAAGCUUAAGCUAUCCAUGACCUUUCUAAAAAGUGCACGCCCAGUGAGAUUCACUAGCAUUAAAUCUUGGAGGUAUAAUAUUAAUACCUUAAUACAUUGGGUUUGUCUUUGAGAUGGUUGGAUUUUUUUCAAGGAUAGAGCUUGUCAUGCCUUAGCUCAUAACCAAUAAGUUUUCUUGUUAUUCGUUUUAUUCUUUUUGUGUUUUUUACGUAAGUCCUUUGUUUUCAUACCCUUGGUAAACUUUUUAGCAAUGUUUUAUUUUGAAUACCAUAAGUUCUUCUCCCAUUCUCUUUACUGCAAACUUUGACAAAAAAAAAAAGGUUUUGCCCAAACUUUUAGAAGUUUUCUAUUUCAUUCCUAGGUGUGUGAGAGAGAUUUGUAACUCUCAAGUAAGAUUUAGGGAUAAGAGCUAUCAUGAGAAUUUGUACACUAAUGGUUUUAUAGUGGACUUAAGUUUUGUGAUGUCUGGUAGUUUUUACAUUGGCAUAAUCUUUUGGACAACUUUAAAUUAAUAUUCUCAUAAACUUUAUUAUCAUAAAUAUUUUGGGCUAAAGGGAAGUAAAUGCUGUAAAAAAUGUUAGUGUUGCACAAUUUAUUUUACUAUAACUGUAAGUAACUGAUUUAUUUUACUUAAUGUGAAUAUAAUGGGGCUCACGGUUGCCAUUUUGGAUAUGUUGGUUCUAUGAUAGUAAGGUUAGGAAGGCAACCAAAUAAUGAUGUCUCAAACAAAAAAUGUUCAAAAUUAUAUCAUGCCUUGUUUAAUUUAUAAAAAUAAAUAAGUAAAUGUGUUUUUAUGUUAGCUAUAUUGAAACGGUAAUCAAGAUAUGGAAUUAGUCUCUUGGACGGACUAUAAUGUAAAACCAAAGACAAUUCUAAUAGAAAAAGCACUGUCACAUUCCAAUCAAAAUUUGAACACUCCAUCCGCAAAUGAAAAGCUAACAUGUCCCAAGAUUAUAAAGUCAUUAUUGGUUUCGGAUGCCAAUGGUUCUAAGCCUUGUGUCUUCCCUAUAAACUAAAAUUGAUGUCUUUUAGUCCUUACUAUGUGACAAUCCCAGUCUUGUGCAUGGAGAAAGGAUCAAGCUUCAAUUGGUAGCACGGUUUGUAGAGGUGUAUGCGCAACUUGCAGAUGAGAUCGUACUCUUAUGGGUGGAAUAGCGCAUAGUGUUGCUGGUUGAUCUGCCAGUGAACUAGCUUGUAGAAUCACGAGUGUUGAUAGUCAAUCUAUCGUACAACCUGAAUCUCUUUAAGCUAAUAAUCUUAUGGCUUUUUAUGAUAUUACGCUGGUGGAGAAAUAUUUUGUUUAAGAAUUCAAUAUGAUGUUUCUAGUGGAUUGGUGUGCUUGAAUGUUGUGCAUUGUCAAUGUUUGCUUUAAUUGUCGUAAUUGGAGUGAAUUUUGGGGAAUCAGAUAGUAAGAAAUGAGCCUUUUGCAUGGGAAGGCAAUGCUGCUGGAGAACCAAAUUUCCUUUGAAGUUAGCGAUAGAGUGAUAGUGGUGUUUUCAUUCUUGCAAAAAUUGAAGAAUUUUUGGUUUGUCGUGAUCAUGCAAAUUAUUAAUGGGAAACAUAAUCGAAAGCUUGAUGGAAGGUGGAUGCCAACCAAUGGUGGAUAGUAGGGACCAAAUGAUUGUGAUGUGUAUAGGUAUAAGCAUCUGCUUGAUCUAUACCAAAGUAUAAAAUUGAUGGUAUAGGAUCAUUCGGAGAUUUGGUCCUAGAGUUUAUGGUCUUAUCAUUUGAAGAUGAAAACGACCAGUUGUGGUCGUUGGAAUCUACAUGAAGCAUAGUCCUACAAGUUAUUAUUUUAACAUUAUUAAGUUAUUAAUGAAUAAAAUAUUUAUUUAUAAUAUUUUCUGUAUAUCAAUUUAUAUUUGUUGAAAUAAUAUUAGAUUUUUUAGCUUAAAAAAAAUGUAGUCACAAUUGUGAAGUGAGGGUUUAGUUAAAAAAAUGGAGUCUCUAUUAACAAUUGUGGUUUCAAUUAAAAAAUGAAGACUCGUUGUCAGUACGGUUUUAAAAAUUGAAUUGGAUUGGUUGGUUGGAAUGUCGGUCAAUUUGAAUGGUUCAAACGUCCUUCGGUCGCCGUUUUGUUUGGUUCAAACGUCCUUCGGUCGCCAUUUUGUCUAGUUCGGUCAUUUAAGAAGGAAAGUGUUUGAAGCAGAAUUAGGCUAGUUAAAUUGGUGGUUGGAUCAUCGAAUAAAUCAAAGGGUUCCCUUCGAAUCGUACGAGUGAAUAUUUUUUUGUUUUUUUUCCAUUGUUGUCGUCUCUCGUCAGUUGGACCCCCACCUUGCGCUGGAAAAGCCCCCUCUUGCCGUCCCCGUUGCUAGAAAAGCACUUUGUGUUGCAAAGUCACCACCCUCGUGACGUUGUUGAGACCUCGCACCCCACGCCUCAUCUUAUUGUUCCUCGCCAACAGAACCCCCACCACCCUGUAAAGCCGUUGCCAUCUUCACCCUGGAAACCCCAUCCUCUAGGAGAGAAGGAAUUCUUAAAAGGAGAGUUUAUAGAGAGGGGAGAGGAGGGGGGAGAGAGAGAGAAGAAGCGUGCAGUGACAGCACAGAGAUUUUGUAUCAGACGGAGUAGAAAUGAGGGAGGUGAGUUCACUUUUCAAAUAUUAAAUUUAAUUUUCUCAUUCUUGUCUUCAAUAUACGUGUUAUUAUAUUUUGUAUCUUGAUUUUACAAAACAUUAUUCAGUUACAGAAAGAGAAAUGGGAAAAGUUUUAUUAUUAACACAAGUUUCAUUUGUUACAUCUAAUAUAUUUUUUAUACAUGGCUUAUUUUGACUAAAAACUCCCUUGAAACAGUGUAGAGAUAUCUAGCGGUAUUCUUUCUGACUAUCUCAUUCUCCUCGUAACAAAUAACAAUGGCAGGGAACAUGGUCAUCCUUCAAAUGGAGGAGCAGUGGGAAUCAUUCCCGGUUGGUAGUGAUCAUAUGAGAGCCUUGAUUGAUUUAAAAUCCAGAUUUCAUCGACUAGAACUUGAAGUGGAAUCUGAAUCUUCGUUAUCAUCAAGUGUAAAGCUGCAAUGUCCUAAAUUGGAACAUAGAUUUGGUUGAGUUAUCAAUGGUGAUGGGAGGAAUUCUCAGGCAUGCGGUGGUCUCAUUUAAACUUAAAGAAAUGUCCCUCAUGUGACAUGUAAGACUGCGCUUGAUGCGGAUUCCAACGUCCAUCAAUUCCUUCUCAUUUCUAAAUGAUGUCAUAACCUCUCUGACAUCUCUAAUUGAUGCAUAUCUAGCAUACAACCAAUCCAACUAUCCAAUAACGAAGGACCUUCCAAAUUUUUCAUUUUAACGAUGCGUUGGGCUGCUAGAAUGUUCAUCACCUAGGAUAAUUCUUCGGAAGAGAUCGAGUAGACGAUGACAAGGCUUUGACUCGUUCUUAGGACUUUGCGACUUCAAUUUGGGGCCAAUAAUUUUGUUGUAUGGGAAGAACAGGCUGGGGUAAUAAUUCUUCAUUUUUUGCAGCAAGGACUCCCUCGUACCUAUAAAUUCCUGUAAUAUUGACUCGUCGUUAAUGCCGAAGAAUUCCUGGAACACUGGCAUCCAAAAAAAACCCACCGCUCCUGAACUCACCUUCUUCAUCAGCUUCAAAAAAUAAUUUUUAAAUAUAAAGUUAAAUAGAUAACUUAUUCUUAAUCUUAAACAUAUUUUCUUUCAUUUGUCCAUAUUUAAUAAAAACAUAUUUUAUAACUAUGACUUUACAUCCAUAAAUUAUUUUUUUAUACAACAUAUUAUAUAAUUAUGUUAUACAUUUAAAAUACUUUAAACAUAGAUAUUUAACAAAUACAUUUAUAACUUAAGAUGAAUAAAAGUAAAUAUAAGUUUAAAUUAAUGAACAAAUAUUAUUUAAAAUUAAUGAGAAUAAAUACGAUUAAUUUAAUUAUUUAAAAUAAAUUUUAAGUUAAUUUUAUUCAAUAAUCUUAAUAUUUAAAUUUAAAAAUAAGUUUUAAGUCAAUAUUAACUUAAAUUGUUAAGUAAUAGUAAUAAGUUUUACCCAACAUCUUUUUAAUUAUUGAAUUCAUAUUUCUUUUAUCAUUUCUCUUAUCCAAUUAAAAUUAUUAGAAAUCCAUCCAUUUAUGUUUUCUAUUUAAUCUCUUUAGCAAACUCGUCAUGUUUGAGUAGUUAAAUUAAAUCUUAUGUUUCCUCUCUCUUUGGGAUUUGAGAAAAAAAAAUCGAUAAUUUUAAAAAACAUUUAUUAAAAUAUGAUAGUUUUAAAAAUAUUUUAAAAUUUAUAAUAGCAAAGCAAAAAUCCAAUUGGAAAUAUUUUUGAAGCACCAUAUUUUAAUAAAUAUUAAAAAAUGGUUUUUUUUUUCCCCUCAAAAUCCCCAUCUUGGCUCUUGAGCAUUGCCCUCCCACUUCUAGUUAAUUUGUAACCACAUGUUUCAAUUUUGUUUAUUGAUGAGACAUUUCAAUAAUAUCCGAAUUGCCUUCACAGGUUUGGACGUUUCUUUGCCUUGUAUCUCGGCUAAGGAUAAUCUAGUUUUUUCUUAUCAUGUAUCACGUAAUGUUAUGGGAAAUUGUCUUAAACAAAAAUAUUGUUCAACAUUUAAUAUCCAUUAGACUUAAUUUCAUUCACCUUCCCUUAGAUUUUUGUUAAUACAUUUUAUUCUUAUAAAUUAAAAUUUCAUCAAAUAUAUAUUUUAUUUCUUUUUAUUUUUUAUUUUCACUCACCUUCUUUCUCAUUUAAAAUAAAUAAAGUAUUUGAUAAAAUUUCAAACUUAUAAAUACCAGAUAAAACUAGUCAAAACCUCAAGAAAAUGAAAUUAACUCAAUCCCAUUGUAAAUUCUCGUAUGAUUAAAUAUUAAGAUGAAUACGACAUAUCUUUAAGAUGAGUAUAAAUAAAUAUAAUAUCAAAUUAUAUAUAAAAAGGAUAGUUUAAAUUAAAUAAUCAAUUUAAUUUUCAAAUAAAAUGAUUAAUGUCAUUUUAACAUAUACGUGAUAUCGACUCCUACAUGUAUGGUUUAAUUUAAUGUUACCCACAUAGCUAUUCCAAAAUUAAAAUUUUUACUUACCCCUACGAUGUUAAGGCGGAGUAAUUGAUCAUACAAUGCAUAAUAAUUAUUUUCUUCAUUAGAUUAAAUAAUACAAAUUACAUAUACGAAUGAGAUUAUUUAGAUGGGAUUUCUAAUUAAUGAUCCAGCUUAGGUGUGAACUUAAAUUAUGUGUUUGUUGGAAACCCUUGUGAUGGAAUAAAAUUUCAUCCUUUUAUACUUGUAUUUAUUUUUUUUGAAGAACAAGUUUGACUUUUCCUUUAUAAUAAACAUUAAGUCUUUUUUUAAAGGGUAAAUAAGACUUUAAUAAUGUUAAUUGUUAAGUGAAGUGUGAACAUCUCCUCCAUGUGAACAACUGGAGCAUCUUUUACCUACAACUUAUAUGUAUUGUCUCGUUGUUCACAUGAAACAAUAAAUAGUGUAAGUCAAAUUCUCAUUACAAAUAUAAAAUUGCAUUAAUUCUCUAUUAUUAUUAAUCUUGGAUAUUGCACCAACAAAAACUGAGAUUAUAAUUAAAUAAAUCCAAAUCAGACAGCACUGAGCCUCUUUGUUGUCAUUUUUUUCAACCUUGGUGCCAAUCAUAAGUCCGGUAUUAAUUUAAUCAUGAUAUGAUCUUGAUUCAUUGAUUACAAUAUAGUUUAUUUGUGGUAGAAUUUUGGGAAAAUUAAUAUAAAAAAUAUGUGAGGAGGAAUCUUUUAUGGAUGGUUCAGGGAGAAGAGGCAAAUGAAGAUGUCCCAGAAAUGAAUUGGUGAUCAAAUAAUCCAAGAAAAAAAGCAUCAAAUCUAUGAUAUGUAUAAUGAAAGAUGUAUUUAAGUAAAUAAAUAAGCUCGUGUUAGGCAUGAACCCUUCCCAAAACCAAGGAGACACGCAUUAGCCUAUUUUAUGUGCUUCACUUGCUGUAUAUUAGUAGGUGUAUGAAUAGAUUAAUCUUUCUGAAGAAAAAAAAAAAAGAAAGAGAAGAAGACUUGAGUGCUCCUUUUUAAAUGACUUUCCCUUUGGAUAUCGUUAUAUCAACAAGGACUAGCUGACAGCAGCCUGUUGCUUACUCGAUUGGAAUUAUGGAGCUUGCAUGCAAUGAGCUGGUGAUUCAUAUUUCACAGGUCUGAUGUGGAUGAACUUUUUUCUUUCUUUUCUUUUAAUAAAUGAUAAGAAUAUCUCACUUAUAAAACAAAAAGAGAAAAUUAGACUAUGCGUGGAAACUAUUCUCAACAAUAAUUUUUUGUUUUUUAAACAUAAAAAAAAAAAUAUGAAAACACAUUUGCCUGUAAUUAUUUCUAAAAUAGGUUACUGAUGAUAUCUUUUAAUUAUUUUUGGUUAAUUUUAUUUUUUAUUUAGAGCUAUUUUUAAAUGUAAUUUUAGAAAUAUGAAAAAUGAUUAAAAUAUAUAAAAGGGUACAUAAAAGAAUAUUUUGAAAACAUAGAAAAUAAAUUGACAAUAUUUAAAAUUACCAAAGAAGCUUUUAUUAUACCAUCGUAAAAUUAUUUUUGAUAAUUAAUCUCAAAAACCAUCUUUUUAUAACUAUUUUGAAAAAUAUUCUCUAAUUAACAAACCUUAUGCUUUUAAGGAGGAUAAGGUAAAAUUUUAAUAAAAAAUAUAAAAUAUGAAUAUUAAUAUUUUAGUAAAGUUAUAAAUUAUAUUUUUUUUAUUAAAAAUAAAUAUUUUUUUUAGAAAAUGAUAAUAGUUAAUAAUAUCUUAUUUAAACUGAAUUAUGAAAAUAAGUAUAAUUUAUUUUUCAAAAUAAGCAAUAAAUUAAUCAAGUUUUGAUCACGUACACAUGUUUAUUCCCUAGUUACAAGUAUUCUGAACCAGUUCAAUCCCACAAAAUUUUUAUAAUAAUUAGCAUAAUUUUUUAGUUUUAAUUUAUUUUUAAAAUAAAAGCAUGGAACUAGAUUGAAUCUUUCUUGGGAAUCCCUAGCAAUGCUGGAGGCUGUGGAGUGGCGGGAAAUCAGGGUCAAUUUCAAUCAAACGUGUAUCUCUUUGCAUGUUUAAAAAAAAAAAAAAAAACCACUUAGUCAUUAAUUGUUACAAGCUGUCCAUAUACUAUUCCACCACUUAUCCUGACGGAAUACUUAAAUUAAAUCCUACGUCAUCAUGUUCAACAUGUCUCUACCACUUUCUAAUUGGUAGCCACAAGUUUUCAAUUCCAUUUAUUAAUAAUAAAUUGAAAACAAAAUCAAACUUUCAAAUACUCGCAACAACGUAUGUGAUUUUUUUUCAUCAAAUAAAUCCAUAAAAAGAAUAGUCUCAUUACUAUUAUUUUUUAUUAAAAGAAAAAAAAAAUUCUCGAUAAAAAAUUCAAUUAACUAUUUUCUGGACACCCAAAGCGUUACACCAAGGGGAAAAGAAAAGGAUCAUACAAGUUAAAGUUAAUUAAUUUGACAAAAAAAAAUCAAAUUUGUUUCAUCAUCUCCCAUUAUUAUUUCUAGGAAGAUGUGGUGUGGUGUGACGUAGAACUAAUUAGCUCUUAACAAACAAAUUGAGCAAAAAAUAAUAUCCAAAUUAUGUCCUAUAUAUACCAGUUUAGGCUAGGGGUGUAUAGAGUAGAGAGAUAUCUAGUAGUACUCCCUCUGCCUAUCUCAUUCUCCUCCUAAGUCCUAACAAAUAACAAUGGCCGGGAACGAGGUGGUCCUUCAAAUGGAGGAGCACCGGAAAGUAGUCGCUGAUCAGUUUGGAAAACCUGCGGAUGGCAGUGAUCAUAUGAAAGCCUUGGCUGACUUAAAAUCCAAAUUUCGUCGACUAGAAAAUGAAGAGGAAUCUGAAUCUCCAUUAUCAUCAAGUGUAAAGCCACAACGUCCCUUAUCAUCAAGUGUAAAGCCACAAUGUCCCAUGGUUCCAAAGAGGUUGCGACCAGAUGUCAAGGGUGCUGAAGACUACUACUAUGCGCCAAAACUCAUUUCUUUGGGUCCUUACCACCAUGGCAAGCCCCACCUCAAGGAUGGAGAAACGCUCAAGCUUAAAUUGGCAGAAGCCUACAUCCAAGAAUGUGAGCCAACAGUGGAUGAAAUUUACAACACAAUUAGCGAUAGCAUUAGUGAGCUGAGGGGCUGUUAUGAUGCGGAGUCGACAAAGAAAUAUAAGGAUGACGAAUUAACCAUCAUGAUGCUGGUGGACGGGUGUGCUCUACUCUGUUACAUUUUAUGCGUUUGCUUAGGUUAUGGCCAUGAAGAUUUCAAUAUCAGAUAUCAGGAUAUAAGCCUUCUGCACCAGGAUGCGUUGCUGCUGGAAAACCAACUUCCCUAUCAAUUACUCCUUGAGCUGAUGAAGAUGGUGGACCCAGGAUCAGCCAAUGAUUUUUGGACGGCCAUGUUCCAGGAAUUCUUCGGCAUCAGCGACGAGUCAAUAUUUCAGGAAUUUAUCGGUAUGAAGAAGAAGGAGUCAUUCCUGCAAAAAAUGAAGAAUUAUUGCCCCCGCCUAUUCCUCCCAAUCAACCAAAUUAUUGACCCCAAAUCGAAGCCGCAAAGUCCUAAUAACGAGUCAAAGCCUUGUCAUCAUCUCCUCGAUCUCUUCCGAAGAAAUUUCCUAGGCGAUGAACGUUCCGGCAGCCCAACGCACCCAGAAAAUGAAAAUUUGGAAGGUCCUUCGUCAUCGGAAACUGAAAUUGGCCGGAGGCUGGGUAGAGCAUCAGUUAGAGAUGUGAAGGAGGUUAUGGCAUCAUUUAGAAAUGUGAAGGAGCUGAUGGACGCUGGAAUCCGCAUCAAGCGCAGUCCUACACGUCACUUGAGGGACAUUUCUUUCCGUUCAAAUGGGAUCACCGCAUGCCUGAGAAUUCCUCCCAUCACCAUUGAUAACUCAACCAAGGCUAUGUUCUUGAACUUGAUAGCCUAUGAAAUGAGCUCAGACGUCGACCAUGACUUCAUCUCUUACCUUCGCUUCCUUGAUUCCCUCAUUGAUCAUGCUGAUGACGUUAAGGAGCUGCAGUCCAUCGGGAUACUCCAAAACAAUCUAGGAACCCACGACGAAGUAGCUCAAUUCUUCAACACCGUGUCCGCCAACUUGGAAUCCAACUUUCAUGCUUACAAAGACGUGAGAGUGAAAAUUCGGAAGCACCUUCAGAGUCACUAUAACAGCAAACUGACAAUGUGGAUGACACAAUGCCUGGACACCUAUUUCGGUAGCCCCUGGACUAUCAUAGCUUGGGUUGGUGCAGCUUUGGCCCUAUUCCUUACUUUCGUCCAGACUUACUUCUCAGUCUUCCCUCAUUGAUGCAUGCCUGCCCUCUUUUCAACUAUCACCGUCUCAAUUAAGGUAAUAUCCACUCCA